rnacentral:rRNA from 1 species
AUGUGCUUGCCGUUUUCGGUGACACUGGGCAGUUUCGUCGCCGCCGCGGUGGCGGUCACUCCGAAGAAGAAACGUACUCGCAACAGGGCCUCGCAGGAACGACUGACUUCAUUGACUGACAGAUUUACCGACGAUCAAAAGGGAGCUGCUGCUGAGAUGGGUAUGCAGGCUCUGAUGGAUGUCCGGUGCACGAAUCUAGUCAACCCUGUAUGCGACUGGCUUGGUGAGAUUUACGACCCCGCCUCCAGGGAAUUUGUGAUUUCGGGACGUGGAAGACUGCCGUUGAACUUUGGGUGUGCCCCAUGGAGAAAUCAAAGUCCCGUAUGA